CCAGCAGCCGCGGUAAUACGUAGGGCGCAAGCGUUGUCCGGGAAUUAUUGGGCGUAAAGAGCUCGUAGGCGGUCUGUCGCGUCUGGUGUGAAAAUCCCAUGGCUCAACUGUGGGCGUGCAUCGGGUACGGGCAGACUAGAGUGCGGUAGGGGAGACUGGAAUUCCUGGUGUAGCGGUGGAAUGCGCAGAUAUCAGGAGGAACACCGAUGGCGAAGGCAGGUCUCUGGGCCGCAACUGACGCUGAGGAGCGAAAGCAUGGGGAGCGAACAGGAUUAGAUACCCUGGUAGUCCAUGCCGUAAACGUUGGGCACUAGGUGUGGGGCUCAUUCCACGAGUUCCGUGCCGCAGCUAACGCAUUAAGUGCCCCGCCUGGGGAGUACGGCCGCAAGGCUAAAACUCAAAGGAAUUGACGGGGGCCCGCACAAGCGGCGGAGCAUGCGGAUUAAUUCGAUGCAACGCGAAGAACCUUACCAAGGCUUGACAUACACCGGAAACAUCCAGAGAUGGGUGCCCCGUAAGGUCGGUGUACAGGUGGUGCAUGGUUGUCGUCAGCUCGUGUCGUGAGAUGUUGGGUUAAGUCCCGCAACGAGCGCAACCCUCAUCCUAUGUUGCCAGCGGGUUAUGCCGGGGACUCAUGGGAGACUGCCGGGGUCAACUCGGAGGAAGGUGGGGAUGACGUCAAAUCAUCAUGCCCCUUAUGUCUUGGGCUUCACGCAUGCUACAAUGGCCGGUACAGAGGGCUGCGAUACCGUAAGGUGGAGCGAAUCCCAAAAAGCCGGUCUCAGUUCGGAUUGGGGUCUGCAACUCGACCCCAUGAAGUCGGAGUCGCUAGUAAUCGCAGAUCAGCAACGCUGCGGUGAAUACGUUCCCGGGCCUUGUACACACCGCCCGUCAAGUCACGAAAGUUGGUAACACCCGAAGCUCAUGGCCCA
rnacentral:rRNA from 1 species